rnacentral:rRNA from 1 species
AACCGUUCCAUUGCCGAACACGGAAGUUAAGCUCUUCAGCGCCGAUGGUAGUCGGGGGUUUCCCCCUGUGAGAGUAGGACGCCGCCAAGC